rnacentral:misc_RNA from 1 species
AUAUCAACAUCACUGUCCUUGAUGUUAACCACAGACAUCUUCCCGAACUAUAAGAACAAAUAAUUCAAUCCAAGAAUUUGUUUGGCGUCCUAAAAGGCAGUUGCUGCUUAGCUCAAAAUAUAAUUGACUGGGCUCGCACAAUUAUUUCUUAGAAUUUCUCAGAACAUCUGGUAGGAAGUACAGGGGUGAGGACAUGCUGGAUAUUAAGUGCCUGGAUAACUGAAAGGAUUUCAUCUUUGCCGGUCGCCAUGAACAGAUUCAGAACUUUCUCAUUCAGCUUUCCAGCUUUCAAAGUUCUCCCAAGGAGAUCGAGGAGGAUGUGAUCAGGAAGGGAUGAGAGAUCGGAGAAGUGAGAAAGAUGAAGAACAGCAGUGUCUAUUGCCAGGGAGAGCAACGAAGGCUGGGUUCUCAUUCACACACUCAUCUAACACACACAUAUAUAUAUAUAAUAAGCAGUGUACGCGAAUGAGCUAGAUCAUCAUCUAUGGGCUUCUCUCUCUACUGGAAAGAAAGGAGCGAUUAGCGAAGAGACAGAAAGAACUGGUCCAAGCUUUGUUCCGAGGUCGGUGUUAUCUCCGUCCCUAGCGCUUA